AUUCCUGAUAAUUUACUCACCCCCAUGUCAUCCAAGAUUAUAUGAGUUUGUUUCUUCAUCUGAACAGACUUGGAAAUAUUUAGCAUUGCAUCUCACCAAUGGAUCGUCUGUGUGAAUGGGUGCCGUCAGAAUGAGAGUUCAAAUAGGUUAGCUGAAAAAAAACAUCACAAUA